GAUGAACGCUAGCGACAGGCUUAACACAUGCAAGUCGAGGGGCAGCGAGGGCGUAGCAAUACGCCUGUCGGCGACCGGCGCACUGGUGAGUAACACGUAUGCGACCUGCCCCCUACAGGGGUAUAACCCCGUAGAAAUGCGGACUAAUCCCCCAUAGUCCUGGGUGCUGCAUGGCAUUCAGGGGAAAGGCCAGCCGGUAGGGAUGGGCAUGCGGCGCAUUAGCUAGUUGGCGGGGCAACGGCCCACCAAGGCGACGAUGCGUAGGGGUUCUGAGAGGAAGGUCCCCCACACUGGUACUGAGACACGGACCAGACUCCUACGGGAGGCAGCAGUGAGG
rnacentral:rRNA from 1 species